rnacentral:rRNA from 1 species
AACUGAAGAGUUUGAUCAUGGCUCAGAUUGAACGCUGGCGGCAGGCUUAACACAUGCAAGUCGAGCGGGGGAAGGUAGCUUGCUACCGGACCUAGCGGCGGACGGGUGAGUAAUGCUUAGGAAUCUGCCUAUUAGUGGGGGACAACAUCUCGAAAGGGAUGCUAAUACCGCAUACGUCCUACGGGAGAAAGCAGGGGAUCUUCGGACCUUGCGCUAAUAGAUGAGCCUAAGUCGGAUUAGCUAGUUGGUGGGGUAAAGGCCUACCAAGGCGACGAUCUGUAGCGGGUCUGAGAGGAUGAUCCGCCACACUGGGACUGAGACACGGCCCAGACUCCUACGGGAGGCAGCAGUGGG